UGGUUAUUGGCUUGCUGUGCAUGGGGGGAUACCUCAUCUGGAGAAACUGGAAACGGAAGAACACUAAAAGCAUGAACUUCGAUAAUCCAGUAUAUAGGAAGACAACAGAAGAGGAAGAUGAAGAUGAAAUCCAUAUUGGUCGGACUGCCCAAAUUGGACAUGUCUAUCCAGCACGUGUAGCACUGAGCUUAGAAGACGAUGGGUUGCCAUAAGGAUGAAGUUGCUGCUCCAGCCGGAACACACCGAACAAAAUUUUCUUUGGAUCACAAAACCCUGCUUCUUUGUUUGAAUCAUUAUUUAUGUUGCAGAAGGGUAACCACAGAGUUAUAAUGAACUGCAAACAUCCAAAGGAUGUGAGAGUUUUGUAUGUAUAAUCUUUUAUACACAUUUUAACUUGUUGCACUACCCAUUUGUGAUAGUCAAUAAGCAACUGCUGAGCUACUAACUCAAUGUACAUAACCAGCAGGCUGAUGGUUCAGUAGCUACUGCUUUAUUUUAAGACUAUAUUUAUAGAUAUUUUGUAAAUAUACUGAAUAUGCUUUGUGGCUAUCCAUCAACAUAAGUAAAAUAAAUUCUGUACAGACCGUUUAGAAAUAUUUAUUAACAAAAUCUGGAUUAUAAGAUCUGAUCUGUAAAUAUAGUAGAGGGGUGAGAGUAUUUAUUUUUUGUAUGUUUGGCUUGCUGUGCAUAGAUUAUCUGUGUAUAUAUCUAUCUAGUCUAGAUAGAUAUAUAGGCAUAUAAAUAUAUACAUAUAUAUAAAUAUAUACAUAUAUUUUAAAACUACUGGGCUAUGUUUAUGAAAAUUAGGGAUAAUUGAAUUUUUAUCAGGUGUUUGAAGUUCGCUUUCAAAUCUAAAGACACAAAGUAAGAAACAGCUGUACUGUAAGAUAGCUGAUAAAUGACAAACAUAGCAAACAGGGCUUUUGUUUCCCAAAGUGGCUUGCAAGGGUUGCUUUCAUCUUUUCCAGUUUAGCCAGCUUCAUCUGCACUGCUUUUUGCUGAAGAGCUGUUGCUAACAGCAUUUCAGGCAGGAGGAGUUCCUACAGCGACCACAUUUUUCAUUCUGUACUGUUGCUUUUUACAGGUUGGUAAAAAUCUGAUUUUAGCAUAUUUUUUCAUUUUCUUCUAACUAUAAAUCUAAAUGUUUUCCCCUCAAGGCAUCCUGCACCUCUCACAUUCAUUUAGAAUUAGUAGCAGAAACAAAGGUAGAGACACAUUCUUUCAGAUACCUGAAGUGAGCACUCAGGAAGGCUCAUCAGGAAACAGUCCCACAUUAACAAAAGGUAAUCCCUUACCUUCUGGAUCCUUUCCCCCACUCUCUUCUUCGUUAAGUCUCAAUUUAGGAGAUACUGUGGGGCAGUGUCUUAGUUCACCAUUUGUAAAAUUCAUUGAAGUGCAGCAGCUGUCAUCAAAGUGAAUGCCAGCACCGUGGUAGAUCUGACAUAACACAGAGCACAAGACAAGGUUCAGGAUUCACAGCUGUAUCAAUAGCUGAUUCCUAGAAUUCAGAGGUAUAUGAAAAAAAAUAAAAAUCACAGGAAAAAGAAGUUGAAAGCAUUCUGGUCUGUUAGUAACUGCCUUUCAUUCUCUAUGGUUCCCAAACUUUGUUUCUCUCUCCUGCAGACCUUAAUAGCACAGUGUUACCAUCACCCCAUAAGACAGUGAAGGAGUCUAAAUAUGCACCAUUUCUCCUAAGAAUUAG
rnacentral:lncRNA from 1 species